rnacentral:rRNA from 1 species
GGGACGAGCGUGCCGGGGUGGCUGUGAGUAAGUGGGGUGGGAGAGUUGUGCGGAAAGACGGGACGUCAGGGGUGGCAAGGGGGCUCGGCAUGUCGGGCGGGAAAACCCCGGGGUUAACCUUGGAAUUGCGUCCGAAACUAGGGAGCUGUAGGGUGUGAGAGGGAGGUGGAAGUCCACGUGGAGCGGGGAAAUGCGUAGAGAUGUGGAGGAACACCGAUGGCGAAGGCAGCCUCCUGGGCCAACACUGACGCUGAUGCACGAAAGCGUGGGGAGCAAACAGGAUUAGAUACCCUAGUAGUC